rnacentral:rRNA from 1 species
GACAGAGGGGGCAAGCGUUGCUCGGAAUCACUGGGCGUAAAGGGCGCGUAGGCGGGAUGGCAAGUCGGUCGUGAAAUCCUUCGGCUCAACCGAAGAACGUCGGCCGAUACUGCCGUUCUUGAGGGAUGCAGAGGAGAUUGGAAUUCCCGGUGUAGCGGUGAAAUGUGUAGAGAUCGGGAGGAACACCGGUGGCGAAGGCGGGUCUCUGGGACGGUACUGACGCUGAGACGCGAAAGCGUGGGGAGCAAACAGG